GAUGAACGCUGACAGAAUGCUUAACACAUGCAAGUCUUUGGCGAAGCUGUUCUCGCACAGCCUAGCCAAGGCGGACGGGUGAGUAACGCGUAAGGAACUUGCCCUGCAGUCAGGGAUAACAGACGGAAACGACUGAUAAGACCUGGUAAAGUCAGGCGGACUCAUGUCCAGCCUGAUGAAAAGAGAUGCUGCAGGAGAGCCUUGCGUCCUAUUAGCUUGUUGGUGGGGUAACGGCCCACCAAGGCGAUGAUAGGUAGCCGGCCUGAGAGGGUGGACGGCCAAAAGGAGAGUGAGAUACGGCAGUUACUCAUAGGGGAGGCAGGAGGGGGGAAUAUUGGACAAGGGGGGCGACCGUGAUACAGAAAUUCUGUGUGCAAGAUGAAGGUUUUCGGAGUGAAAAGUGCUUUCAGCAGGGAAGAAAAAAAUGACGGUACCUGCAGAAGAAGCGACGGCUAAAUACGUG
rnacentral:rRNA from 1 species